GUAACAAGGUUUCCGUAGGUGAACCUGCGGAAGGAUCAUUAAAUUCCAUCUAUUACAAUUUUAACACCAUCUGCGUACUAUUCCUGUUGCUUCCGUAGGGUGGAGCGCAUGCUUGAAAGCUCUAGCCAGUUGGUUGGGGUUUUUGGCAGCGGUUUCAGCUAGCCAGUUGGCUGGUUCCUGCGGAAGGAUAUUUUCAAAUCAUUUGCAUUUAUUUUGCCUUCUGUCUGAAUCAUGUUUAUAACAAUUGUUAAAACUUUCAACAACGGAUCUCUUGGUUCUCGCAUCGAUGAAGAACGCAGCGAAAUGCGAUAAGUAGUGUGAAUUGCAGAAUUCAGUGAAUCAUCGAAUCUUUGAACGCACAUUGCGCCUCCUGGUAUUCCGGGAGGCAUGCCUGUUCGAGCGUCAUAAAUAGCGAUUCAAGCAAGUUCUCUUGCUUGGUAUUGGAGGUCGAGCGUUGCCCAUGCGCUUGUUCGGCUUUGAAAUUCAGAGGCGGGCUGCUCCGUGUUCCAUCUGGCGUUAUAGGAUUAUUCUUUCGCUUGGACUCGUGAGAUAGUUUUGUUGACAAUCCCCCAUUUAUUAAUCGUUGACCUCGGAUCAGGUAGGGAUACCCGCUGAACUUAAGCAUAUC
rnacentral:rRNA from 1 species